AUUGAACGCUGGCGACAUGCCUUACACAUGCAAGUCGAACGGCAGCACGUGUGCUUGCACCUGGUGGCGAGUGGCGAACGGAUGAGUAAUACAUCGGAACAUGUCCUGUAGUGGGGGAUAGCCCGGCGAAAGCCGGAUUAAUACCGCAUACGAUCUACGGAUGACAGCGGGGGACCUUCGGGCCUCGCGCUGUCGGGUCGGCUGAUGGCUGAUUGGCUAGUUGGUGGGGUAACGGCCUACCAAGGCGACGAUCAGUAGCUGGUCUGAGAGGACGACCAGUCACACUGGGACUGAGACACGGCCCAGACUCCUACGGGAGGCAGCAGUGGGGAAUUUUGGACAAUGGGCGAAAGCCUGAUCCAGCAAUGCCGCGUGUGUGAAGAAGGCCUUCGGGUUGUAAAGCACUUUUGUCCGGAAAGAAAUCCUUGGCCCUAAUACGGUCGGGGGAUGACGGUACCGGAAGAAUAAGCACCGGCUAACUACGUG
rnacentral:rRNA from 1 species